GCCCCGGUAAACGGCGGCCGUAACUAUAACGGUCCUAAGGUAGCGAAAUUCCUUGUCGGGUAAGUUCCGACCUGCACGAAUGGCGUAAUGAUGGCCAGGCUGUCUCCACCCGAGACUCAGUGAAAUUGAACUCGCUGUGAAGAUGCAGUGUACCCGCGGCAAGACGGAAAGACCCCGUGAACCUUUACUAUAGCUUGACACUGAACAUUGAGCCUUGAUGUGUAGGAUAGGUGGGAGGCUUUGAAGUGUGGACGCCAGUCUGCAUGGAGCCGACCUUGAAAUACCACCCUUUAAUGUUUGAUGUUCUAACGUUGGCCCGUAAUCCGGGUUGCGGACAGUGUCUGGUGGGUAGUUUGACUGGGGCGGUCUCCUCCUAAAGAGUAACGGAGGAGCACGAAGGUUGGCUAAUCCUGGUCGGACAUCAGGAGGUUAGUGCAAUGGCAUAAGCCAGCUUGACUGCGAGCGUGACGGCGCGAGCAGGUGCGAAAGCAGGUCAUAGUGAUCCGGUGGUUCUGAAUGGAAGGGCCAUCGCUCAACGGAUAAAAGGUACUCCGGGGAUAACAGGCUGAUACCGCCCAAGAGUUCAUAUCGACGGCGGUGUUUGGCACCUCGAUGUCGGCUCAUCACAUCCUGGGGCUGAAGUAGGUCCCAAGGGUAUGGCUGUUCGCCAUUUAAAGUGGUACGCGAGCUGGGUUUAGAACGUCGUGAGACAGUUCGGUCCCUAUCUGCCGUGGGCGCUGGAGAACUGAGGGGGGCUGCUCCUAGUACGAGAGGACCGGAGUGGACGCAUCACUGGUGUUCGGGUUGUCAUGCCAAUGGCACUGCCCGGUAGCUAAAUGCGGAAGAGAUAAGUGCUGAAA
rnacentral:rRNA from 1 species